UCAGGACAAGCCGAAAACCUGUAAAAGAGUAGGGU
rfam:Bacteroides sp. 43_108 Ley3_66761_scaffold_325, whole genome shotgun sequence.